rnacentral:rRNA from 1 species
UACGUAGGGUGCAAGCGUUGUCCGGAAUUAUUGGGCGUAAAGAGCUUGUAGGCGGUUUGUCGCGUCUGCUGUGAAAUUUCGGGGCUCAACCCCGAACUUGCAGUGGGUACGGGCAGACUAGAGUGUGGUAGGGGAGACUGGAAUUCCUGGUGUAGCGGUGAAAUGCGUUGAUAUCAGGAGGAACACCCAUGGCGAAGGCAGCAAACUGGUCAUCAACUGACGCUGAGGCGCGAAAGCGUGGGUAGCAAACAGG